rnacentral:lncRNA from 1 species
AAAUGUAACGAUGAUCCUAACGUUGGAACCAAAGUUUGCAAAAGUAACCCUCCUUCCGUUCCAUCUCCAACUCCAACCAAUACAUGUCGUCCGUCUGGCACAAUCAAUUGCAACGGUGUGCACCCAAUAUACCGUUGCUCGCCACCUGUCACCUCCUCAACGCCCGCUCAACUGACCCUCAACGAUUUCAGUGAAGGCGGAGAUGGUGGUGGUCCAUCAUCAUGUGAUGGGAAAUAUCAUAAUAAUAAUGAAAGAGUAGUAGCAUUGUCCACUGGAUGGUUCGCGGGACGUUCAAGGUGUGGUAAAAUGAUACUAAUUCGCGCUAAUAACGGAAAGACCGUAACGGCUAAAGUGGUGGAUGAGUGUGAUUCUACUAUGGGUUGUGAUGCGGAACAUGCUUUUCAAAGUCCAUGCAAAAACAACAUAGUGGAUGGUUCUAUUGCUGUGUGGAGAGCUUUAGGGUUAAAUACAGAUUUAGGUAUUGUUCCCGUCACUUGGUCCAUGGUUUAGGCCAACGUGGAGCGAUCGUUACAGUUAUGGAUUCGAUAGAAUUCAAUAACUUUAUAUGUCUCAAAUUAUAUAAUUCUUGAAUAAGCGUGUCAUCUUACAUGUAAUAAGAUGUACAUUAGAGUUUCUUAAAAAUAAUCAACUACGAUAUAAUUUCUUACUAAUAAUGUUCUCCUUUCGUCUCAAUUUAUUUUGUGAUGUUUACCUCUUUGUAUACUUCUAAAUAUCAAGAUUUAGUUUUGAAUUUGGGAUAUGCAAACAUGUAUUGAGAGGAUUAAGAAAAAGAGGGAGAUGGUGGAGGUGUUUGAAGAUCGUGAGGGUAAGAGAUAGAGACGGAUUGGGGGAGGGAAAGACAUAGGUGAGAGAAAAUAAUUUAAAUUGCUAAUUUACCAUUAAUUAAGGAAUUUAAAUUUUAAGAUAAUUAUUUAAUAUCAUAUUUAAGAGAUAUGUGUAUCUGAUUAAAUAUUUUAAAAUAUAUGGUAUAAAUAUUAAAAGUGAUAUUAUGUUAAUUUUUUAAAAGUAUAGGUAAAUUAAGUAUAUCUUUCUUUUUUAUUAUAAAUUUCAAAAGUCUUUAUGUCUAGCACCAAUUAUAGAAAGUCUGAAAAUUGCAAAAAUGCAAAAAAGGAGGACGGAGUGCAAGGUCAUAUUGCACUAUCAAAAAAUGGUAUAAUACUGAAAUGUGUUCUUUAACUUGAUAUCAACUGACAUCUAUACAUUUUAAUUUUGAAUGUGCAAGGUACAUAAAUUUGUAUAGAAUUGAACAAUUACACACAUAUGUCUUACGCAGUGUUUUAAAAGGCGAGAGCAUGAAACGGGGCAUUUUACUUAGUGUAGGGGGAGGCGUAAGCCUUGAGACGUGGGGCGUAAUCCCUAUGAAUCUUUAAAUUUUUAAUUUAGGGGAAAUACAUAAUUACCCCAUUCAACUAUAACACUUUUUUUUUAAAAACACUCAAACUUUAUAAGGGUCCUAGUACCCCACUAAAUAAUUUAAAAGUGAUAUAAAUAUCUCAUUUUUCAAUUAAUCCCACUUAUAAAAAAGAAGGUGUAAGCACGCACUAAUUAUAGUUUGCUAUCUGUCAAUUUUAUAUAAUUUCCUAAUCUUUGUUUUUAUUUAUGUUUUUUUUUUAGUUUAAUUCUUUAUUUUUUCUUUCUUCGCUUAACCCAUCCGUUGGUCUUCUUCGUUGUGGAGUGGCCGCCAUUGCUACAACACCAUUUACAACAUUAAAUCAAAAUUAAAAUUGGAAAAUCAAAUCCGCUUUCAAAAUUUAUUGUUUUCAAAUUAAAAUUUCUAUCAAAGUCUUUUUUUUAUGUGUUUUGCCUUUGAUUUUUGCUCUAAAUCAACUUGGGUUGUAUUUGAAAAAAACAUUGAAAUAACGCCGACGAUUCUAUCUUCGAAGUUGCCAUCAUCUUUCCGGAGAUUCUCACCCUAGACAGUCAAGAAGGAGAAGAAGAAAUAUGAGGAUGAAACAACAAAAAUGUUGUUGCUUCCAUUAUCAAUGGGAUUUUUUUGUCAGUGAAAAGGCAUUUUAUUUUAUGUACUGAGAUUGUGUUAUUUAGUUACAAUUAAAUCUCUCCGUCGAAAUCCAAUCUAAAUGAAAAACGAAAAGAGAGCAAAAAAAGAAGAAAAAAAAAAACUUCAAGCUCCUUCAAUGGUGAAGCUCAGGAAGGAGUAAAAUAAAGAUUAUUUAUAUAGUUAAUAAAAAAUAUUGCAAAAGAAAAGUUUAAUCUUACUUUUUUUGGUUUCCAUGCUCUUCAGGCGAGUGAUAUACACUCUCUCUAUAAAAUAUCGAAAAAUGGUUCAAUAAUUUCACAUUAAUCUAGUUAAGUGGUGUAUUAGGACCCCCACAAAGUUUAAGUGUCUUUUUCAAAAAUACAUCUUACUUUAAUGGGGUAAUUAUGUAUUUAUAAUAACUCAAAAUUAUAAAAAUACAUCAAUAGUUUGAAAUAAUUACAAACAUGAAACUCAUAGAAAAUAAAACUUCUAACAUGAUUAUACAAGUAUAAAUAAUCUAACAUCUUAACUUUCUAAUAAUAAAAGAAUCAUUAUUUCUAAAAAAUUAUUUCUAUCAUACUAUACAAUUUACUCCCUAAAAGAAAAUAAACAAUAAAACUUACUAGUAUUAUAAUAAAAACUUCACUCCAUCAUGAAUAUAAAUAAAAUUACUUUCAAAUAGCUAAAUAAAAUAUGAUAAUUUGGAGACAUAAGACAAAAUCAUGGAGACCAAUCAUAAGUGAAAAAAUAAAAAAUUUCUACGUAUUUUAAAAGAAAUAUUGCGUAAUAUAUAAUCACCUUCACAGUGUUACGAAAUAGUAAAGAUACGAUACUACAACUUGUUAUUUGAGUUACUUUCAAUCUUCUUAUCUCUAUAGAUUAAAAAAUUACUAAGUUUCAUUCAUUUAUUAAAGAAUUAUGAGUGUCAACAAUGUUAACUAGAGAUUUUAAUACAUAAUUUGUGCAAGAUCUGUUAGGCAAUUCCCUAACGUUGGGCGUUAGGCAUGCUUAGGGAGUACAGUCGGGCGCUUGGGGCGUAAGUCUUAUAAAACUAAGCCUCACACUUGAGUCUCGGGGGGUUUUGCUAGAGCCCCGCCCCAGGACGAGCUCCGAGGCAAGUCCCAACAUAGUCUUUUAAAACACUGGUCCUACGUGACGUCUUACAUAUAUUAUACCAUAUAAGACGCAUGUAUUACGCCACGCAAAAAAUAUAUGCAGUAUACACUUAUUUUCUAGUUGUAUUACAAUGAAUAUGCACUAGUAACUAUUUCAAAUUGAUACAUCUAAAUUACUAUAUAGCUGGAUAUUUUUGACAGAUUGAAACUCAUAAGAAAAACACGAUAAAUGAUUUGAGACGAAGAGAUCAGUAUUCUCUCCUAAAUAGGACUCCCAUACCCUUUCUCCAAGAAUAAAGAUUAACCAGAUAUAAAAUAUUUAUAUUUAUAUUUAUCUUAUCGUAAAAGUAAAACCAAUUAUAAUAAAUAUGUUAUCGUUUCUUCCAAAAAAAAUAAAACACCCAAUUAUGAUUUUAGAAAUUAGGACAAACACCCAAUAAUAUGUGAGUUUCUUAACAAAUCAAUUAUAUUCAAAUCAAACUAUGAAAAUUGACAAUUAAAUUUGCAAGACAUGGAUUGUUUUCAAACGUAUUUGAAAACGGAGAUAUUAAUUGUCCUUACUUGUUCCUAGGUUUGUUUUUUUAUCGCCUUGUUUCAUUCACUUAUUUAUGUAAUAUAUUUACCUUUUUAUAUUUUGGUGGAAAAGAUCUAGAAAUAUAUUUAUCUAUUGAGUCAAAAAUGAAUAUAUUAAUUUAAUAGCAGCCAUUACGUAGGAACUAAAGAGUACUAGGAAUAGCAUAUUGUUAGUGAAGUAAUUAAUCGAUUGUACAAAAGUUGUUAGUAUUUGACUAAAUUAGAAUUUAUGUGUUAUAGAGUUUAUUUCUGAAAAUAACGCUUCUAACAAAAAAAAUCAUUUCCAAAAAAUUGGUUUCGACCCCUCUAAUUAAAGGUAAUUUUGGACCAUCCUACCGUAAUUCAGAUUGAUUAAUUAAUCGAUCAACUUGCUAGUCCAUCUAUAAUUCCUAAUAAUGUCAGAACCCAUGCAUCCAUGCAAGUCCUUGCAUUAAAUAGCCAAAGAAAGUCUAAUUUUGCUUAUACAAAAUUUGGAAGGAUUUUUAUAUGUAGAUAGAAUCGUGGUAUUCGGAUCGACUUAUGUGCAUCUCGACUAAAUUUUACGGAAUAUAUGUCAUUUCUCAUCAACAACACAUACCAGAUAACUUUUUCCACCAAAGUUAAAACAAAUAUAAAGAAAUUACUCAACAUUUUGCCUAUAUUAGAAUUUAAACCUGAAAUAUCAUGAUGCUCGAUUAACCCACUUCAUUGAAGAAUUUUCUUUUUACAAAAGUAAAAGAACAAGUCAUACUAUUAUUCAUUAUUUAACUUAUCCCGAUUCAAUUCAUUUCAACUUGAAAAUUUUAAUUUUGUAUUAACAAAUAACAUAUUCAAAUUCAAGUCAAUCCGUCCAAAUUGACACGUAGAUAUCUACUAGCCGAAAAUCACGACUCAUCACAAUAUCAUUUCUCCCUAUAUAUAUUCAUCCAUUUAGACACUUUUCUUCACCCAUCAACACUUCCUUACACAUAAAACCUUUUCAAUCAUUACAAAAAUAGCCACAAUGUCCAAUCUAGCCUUUCUUUCACUAAUUUUCACCAUUUUCAUAUCCACUUCUAACGCCAUUUCUCAAUGUAACGGCCCUUGUAAAACAUGGGACGAUUGUGAUGGUCAAUUAAUUUGCAUAACGGAAAAUGUAACGAUGAUCCUAAACGUUGGAACCAAAAUUUGCAAAAGUAGCCCUCCUUCCGUCCCAUCUCCAACUCCAACCAAUACAUGUCGUCCGUCUGGCACAAUCAAUUGCAACGGUGUACACCCAAUAUACCGUUGCUCGCCACCUGUCACCUCCUCAACGCCCGCUCAACUUACCUUCAACGACUUCGGUGAAGGCGGAGACGGAGGUGGUCCAUCAUCAUGUGAUGGGAAAUAUCAUAACAAUAACGAAAGAAUAGUAGCAUUGUCCACCGGAUGGUUUGCAGGACG